rnacentral:tRNA from 1 species
GGUUGUGGCUCAGUGGUAGAGCGCUUGUCUCACAUGUUGAAGCACUGGGUUCCAUUCUCAGCACCA